AGUUGUAUAGUUGUAUUUAUAGGUGUAUCUAUUUAUAUAUCUGUAUAGAUUGUAUAGAUAGUUAGUUAUGGAUGCGAUAGGAUUUUAUUUCUAUGUAUACAGUUACAUUUAUAGAUUUUCAAAUUUACAUUUGUAUAUGUAGCGAGUAACAUUUCUAUGCGCACACAGUUAGAUUUCUAUAUGUGCAUAGUUCUUUAGUUAGAGCUGUAUAGAUGUAUAGGUCCAUAGAUUGAGGUGUGUAGGCCUAGGGUGCAUUUUUGCCUCUUUCCCCCUUGGCUGCCUUUUUCAUCUCUUGUUUUUCCCGCUGUGCCCCUUGUGUCCCCCUGUGCUGGGUCCGAGCUGGGGCCGGGCCAGGCGGAGCAGCAGUUGCAGCCCUGGCUGUCCCUGGAGCGGUGGGAGCUGCCGGUGGCCCCAGGCACUGUCCUGUGAGGAGCUGCUGAAGGACGCUGUGCUGAAGAGCUUGAGGACAUCCAGACACUGCCAGGAGGCAGCAGGGAGAAGCUGAAGGCCUGGAACAAGAGCAGUGAGCAGGGAUGUGCUGGGGCCACGCGAGAGCCUGGAUGUCCCAUCUGCUGUCCCUGUCCAGGAGAGCUGCUCUGCAUGGGAGGAGAAGACUGAGGGAGAAGCUUUGAAGAUCGGGCGGCUGAUUUAUUCUUAUGCAGUUCCAUGGAUCUUUAGAUUGGGACAGCGACAUUUGUAU